rnacentral:rRNA from 1 species
AGAGUUUGAUCCUGGCUCAGGAUGAACGCUAGCGGCAGGCCUAACACAUGCAAGUCGAACGGGUAACAGGGAUUGCUUGCAAUCCGCUGACGAGUGGCGCACGGGUGCGUAACGCGUAUGCAAUCUGCCUAUAACUGAGGGAUAGCCCAGAGAAAUUUGGAUUAAUACCUCAUAAUAUUGUUUUUUGGCAUCAUUAAACAAUUAGAACUUCGGUGGUUAUAGAUGAGCAUGCGUCCUAUUAGCUUGUUGGUAAGGUAACGGCUUACCAAGGCAACGAUAGGUAGGGGGCCUGAAAGGGUGAUCCCCCACACUGGUACUGAGACACGGACCAGACUCCUACGGGAGGCAGCAGUGAGGAAUAUUGCGCAAUGGGAGGGAAACUCUGACGCAGCCAUGCCGCGUGCAGGAAGACGGCCCUACGGGUUGUAAACUGCUUUUAUAUAGGAAGAAACCCCGAAUACGUUUGUAUUCGGCUUUGACGGUACUAUAUGAAUAAGGACCGGCUAACUCCGUGCCAGCAGCCGCGGUAAUACGGAGGGUCCAAGCGUUAUC